UACGGAGGGUGCAAGCGUUAUCCGGAUUUACUGGGUUUAAAGGGUGCGUAGGCGGGCCUUUAAGUCAGUGGUGAAAACUCCGAGCUUAACUCGGAAACUGCCAUUGAUACUAUUGGUCUUGAAUUUAGUUGAGGUUGGCGGAAUGUGUCGUGUAGCGGUGAAAUGCUUAGAUAUGACACAGAACACCGAUUGCGAAGGCAGCUGGCUAAACUAAAAUUGACGCUGAGGCACGAAAGUGUGGGGAUCAAACAGG
rnacentral:rRNA from 1 species